UACGUAGGGUGCAAGCGUUAAUCGGAAUUACUGGGCGUAAAGCGUGCGCAGGCGGUUGUGCAAGUCAGAUGUGAAAUCCCCGGGCUUAACCUGGGAAUUGCAUUUGUGACUGCACGGCUAGAGUGUGUCAGAGGGGGGUAGAAUUCCACGUGUAGCAGUGAAAUGCGUAGAUAUGUGGAGGAAUACCGAUGGCGAAGGCAGCCCCCUGGGAUAACACUGACGCUCAUGCACGAAAGCGUGGGGAGCAAACAGG
rnacentral:rRNA from 1 species